rnacentral:lncRNA from 1 species
CAGAAGAAAACAGGUGUCCCACACUCCAUAGGAUGCCACACCCCAUAAAGUACAAAUACAUUUCCUCAACCAUUUGGAAUUGCUAAAAUGUUCAACCAGGAAUCAGCAAAAACCUCUAGACCCUUGGAUAUAAGAAAAAGUGCCCACAUAUGAUCCCCUAGAUGAUUUUUGCGUGCCCACGUAUGAUCCCCUAGAUGAUUUUUGCCUGUUCAUGUUCGAACUCCUAAGGCCCUUGGAUUCAUUGUGAACCACGUUGAUAGAAACCAUUGCCUCUCGAUCUGUUAUAGUCGCCACCAUCUUGGGCACUACCCCUGCCUAAACCACGAC